GGAGAAAGAACGAAAGAAAAAGAAAAAGGGAAGGAAAGGAAAAACUAGGGUUUAAGGUUUUAAAGCUUUAAAGGUAAGUCAAUCAAGUUCUUUUCUUUUAAUUUAGAUGUUUUAGAAGUUUUAAAACAAAGUUUUGUUAAAAAUAAGUUGAGCUUUUGGAAGUUUAUAGAUUAUUAAGCAUGGUUCAUGUUGAAUAAAUUGUUAAAUUAGGGAUGUAUUUGAUAGAAAUUUUGAUUGGAAUUGAAUAAAGGAUUGAAUUGUAAACUAAACUAUAGGUUUUGAAUUUUAGGGAUUGAAUUGAAAUAAAUUCGAAAUUAUGAAAAUAUGAAAAAAAUUAGAUAGUUUCAAAAAUGAGUUUGGCAAGAAAAUUGAGUAGCAAGAAAGUAUGAAUUGAGAAAGAAAAAUAUAUAGGUUUAGUUAGGAUUAAAUUGAAAUUAAAGUAAAAGUUAGAUAAAAAUUUCAGCAAUUAAAUUGUGUUGUGCUAAUGAUUAUGAAAAUUAUCUUAAAUUUUUUUGUAGCUAAUAUCGCACCCGAGGCAUCCACGAGGAAAGGAAAAGAAAAAGUGGACGAGGAAUAGACACGAGAAUUACGGUUUGUAUCACUAUAAUUCAAACUUUAUUAUUAUUAAGUGUUUAAUUUGCUAAUUAUGUGUGGUAAGUAUUUUAAGGUAAGUGUUUAAUAAAUGAUAAAUUUAUAAUGUGGUAUUGAAAUUGAAACUGAUACUGAACUAAAUUAUGGAAUACUGGAUAUUGUUUUGAGUACUGAGUGAAUUGAAAAAAAAAUACUAAAUAUUGUUAUGUAUAAUGCAUUGAAUUGUGAAAUUACUGAAGUAAUAAAUUACUGUAAUACUGUGAAACUGAUUGAAAUAAGGAAUUUAUAAUUGAUACUAAACUAAAGUGGAGAUUGUACUGAAAAGUGAAUUAAAUACCCUAUUAACUAGUCGGGCUAGUCGGAUAUAGUUGGCAUGCAUUGGAUAUGGAAGAGUGUCGGGUAUUUGCCGGCUUACUGAUCAGGCACUUAUGUGCCGACUACUGUUACUGUUACCGAUUCAGCACUUUGUGUGUCGAAUACUGUUACCGUUACUGUUACAGAUUCAGCACUUUGUGUGUUGAAUAAUGUCACUGUUACUGUUACUGUUACCAUUAUUGAUUACUGUUUACUGGUGUGUUUGAUUGGAAUCCGUGUAUUCGCCGAGUCCGAGUCAAGUUAAUAGGGACAAAUGAAAUAAAUUUACUGAUAAAAUCAAUCUCGAAUAAUAUAGUAUAUGUGAAAAGUGAAAUUUGAAAUAAAGAAAUAAGAAUGAUAUAUAUAUAGUUAAUUGAUAAUAUAAAAAGAUUGAAUUAUUUAUUAGUAGUGAUAAUUGUAAUGAAAAGUAUGUGUGUGGUUUAAUGUAAUUAAUUAUAAACUGAAUUAUAGUGAUACCACCGAGUAUAUACAUACUCCGUGUACGGUUGUUUCCGUGCGCAGGUUGUAGAAGUCAAGCACUGAACCAGCAUCCAAAGCCAGACCCGACUUCAGCAUACUUUUGGUGAUGUAUAUUUUAUUUUGGUAAUGUGACAUGUACAUAGGAUGUGUAUAAAGGUUAUUAUGUUUUAUUAUAAAUGGUUAAAAAUUUUAGUAUUAUAACUUUAUGAAUUAUAAUGAAAAAAAAAGUUUAUCUAUUGUUAUUUAACUUAGUAUAAUGUUAAAUUUGAAUUGAUAUUAUGUUGAUUAAGUAGAUUAGAAGGUAUUUAGAAUAGGAAUUGAGAAUGUGAAAUGAAUUGGUUGAAUUGGUUAUGAUUAGAAAUGAUAUGGUUUUAAUUGCAGAGGGUUUUAUGUAAAAACAAGCAGAAAUGCUGUCGAAAUUUUUAAAAUAAAAUAAAUAAAAAUAAAAAAUGAAGUACUCGAACGAGUUUCAUUUCACUUUUAAUUCAUGUUUGAAACUUUGAAAGUUUAUUACAGGGACUUAGUUAUACAAUUAUAUUACGACUGAUAUUUUAUUAUGAAUUAUCCAUGAAUUGUUGAUAUGUCUAGUAAUGCCUCGUAACCCUGUUUCGGCGACGGUUUAGGGUUAGGGGGUGUUACUAUGUUAGUUUAUAAGCUUAGAAAUGAAAAAGGACUAAUUUAUAAAGUGAAAGUUGUUAGUUUUGAACAUAAGGACUAAAGUGUAAAGAACUUGAAUUUAAUUUUAAAUUUCUAUAAUUAUAGAUAUUAUAGGGCUAUAGAAGGAUGAUAUUGAAAUAGGAUUGAAAUACGAGGCUUAAAUGUGAAAAUUAUGAUUGUUUCAGUUUUAGGGACUAAAUUGAAUAAAAUGUGAAACUUUAGGAAAUUUUUAAAAAGUGAAAUUAAAGUUUCAUAUUCAUAUAAUAAGAGGUUAUAAGGUAAUUGAAAUUGAUAAUUUGAAAUCAAUUACCGUAUGGAUCAAGAUUUGAAUCAAUCGAUAGAUAAUCGAGGAACAAAGAAAAUUGCAGAUUAGUUCCUAACACUUCAAUUAUUGUUGAUUGCACUUGGUAAGUUCAUAUGGUAUAGUUAUAUUCAUAUAUGUAAUGUUUGUGGUUGAAUUGUGAAUUUAUAGUAUUUGAAUGUACUUUAAACGUUUUACAAAAUGAUACAAAAAAGUGAGGAAAUGAUUGAAUUGUAAAUAGUUGUUAUGAUAUGUUACUUGUGCGUGGAUGAACGUGUGAUAUGAUAGGAUAAAAGUGGCAUGCCAAUAGGUUUAUUCAUACGUUGUGCGAGAUAUGCAUAAGAGAUGAUAUUAAUGUAUGAAAAUUCACUGAUUGUAGCAGAAUCCAACAUUUGUUGUGGAUUACUGAGUUUAUCUCUACGGAGACCACUAUUAUCAGUUGUCUCUACGAAGACUUUGCUGUGGUGGAGGGAUGUACUGAUAUAUGAUAUACGAGCCUAUGGACCUUGCAUUUCGAUGUUUUAGUGUAGUGUAGUUACUGCUCUGAUGAGCUAAUCGGUGUGCUGUAGUCACUCGCGUAUCUGUAUUUGUUUAUUAUAGUUCAUCGAGCUAAACUGUUAAUGAAAAGAGAAAUGACAGAAUGAUGAUAUGAACUGAAAUUGGAAAUGUUCAUUUAAUGUUAGGUUAUUGUAAAUGAAGCAUAACUGACGAUUUCGAUUUAAUGGUACUGAAUUGGAUUGAUGUGUAUAGAUUGAAUCGUUAUAUGAUUUGGUUAUCUUGAACUCACCUUACUGUUGCAAAAUGUAAUGACAGAAAAGUUAUGUAUUUAGCUAUUUUAUUUUGUUAAUCGUGUUUUGAGGUGAGUUGUUGUUUUAAAACCUAUGAACUUACUAAGCAUAUGAAAUGCUUACUUUGUUUCAUUUUCUAUUUUUGUAGUUGGCAUUUUGCGGAAUGUGUUUAUUGGAUCACCCCAAAGCUCACACUAUCCAGCUUCUGACUCAGUAGAUUUUUAAUCAUUCCGAACUUUGUUAUGUGGCAUGUAUAUAGGGGUUGCAUUACAUAUGCGUCAUACUUGAUUUUGGAUAUUUACAUGUUAUGUAUAUAAAUGUGUAUGAUGGCCAAACUUUAAAUGUGGAAUGGUUAAGAUAAUGUUAUGAGAAUGGUGUAAAAUUGUUCAAUAUGUGAUGGUUGGGUGAUAGCUUAAUGCGAUGAC
rnacentral:lncRNA from 1 species